rnacentral:rRNA from 1 species
UACGUAGGGUGCGAGCGUUUGUCCGGAAUUAUUGGGCGUAAAGAGCUCGUAGGCGGUGUGUCACGUCGGCCGUGAAAACCUGCAGCUUAACUGUGGGCGUGCGGUCGAUACGGGCAUCACUGGAGUUCGGCAGGGGAGACUGGAAUCCUGGUGUAGCGGUGAAAUGCGCAGAUAUCAGGAGGAACACCGGUGGCGAAGGCGGGUCUCUGGGCCGAUACUGACGCUGAGGAGCGAAAGCGUGGGGAGCAAACAGG